rnacentral:rRNA from 1 species
AUUGAACGCUGGCGGCAGGCCUAACACAUGCAAGUCGAGCGGAUGAAGGGAGCUUGCUCCUGGAUUCAGCUGCCGACGGGUGGGUAAUGCCUAGGAAUCUGCCUGAUAGUGGGGGAUAACGUCCGGUAACGGGCGCUAAUACCGCAUACGUCCUGAGUGAGAAAGUGGGGGAUCUUCGGACCUCACGCUAUCAGAUGAGCCUAGGUCGGAUUAGCUAGUUGGUGUGGUAAAGGCCUACCAAGGCGACGAUCCGUAACUGGUCUGAGAGGAUGAUCAGUCACACUGGAACUGAGACACGGUCCAGACUCCUACGGGAGGCAGCAGUGGGGAAUAUUGGACAAUGGGCGAAAGCCUGAUCCAGCCAUGCCGCGUGUGUGAAGAAGGUCUUCGGAUCGUAAAACACUUUAAGUUGGGAGGAAGGGAAGUAAGUUAAAACCUUGCUGUCUUGACGGUACCAACAGAAAAAGCACCGGCUAACUUCGUG